ACCAGCUGGACCACGGGGACCCAUGGGACCCUGCAGAGGACAAACACACCUCACUGAGCAGGACAAUCACGGGAAGUUCGAUGAGCUGACUGCACAUUCCUGCGUUAAGUGGAAACCACUGGUACCCAGAGACGCCUCACAAACACACAUCUGGAGCCCAAACCAGGAUGGGAGAGAUCCCAGGAAACCUCUGGAAAUAAAUCCCAAAUUAGAGGCUGCUGAAGAAUGCGGGGCCAUUUAGCCCCCACACGGAUUGCAGUUCUGAGCACUGCCAGUGCCGAGCUGUGCUUGGACUCCGCCCCAUGUUGAUCCUAGUGCCCGGCCAGUGAGGCAAAGCAAAUGAGUGAAAGAAGAGGAAAAGAAUCCCUGGUGCUUGUUAAUCAUCCUGGCAAGAUGAGAGUUUGGCCUCACCCUGAAUGGAGCGUCUGAAAUUGAGUCAAGAGCACAUCCCACUGUCUCUUUUUCCAUCUCAUGUUCCUGUAAUUCGAUCACCUACACACAGGAGCAGCUCCCCUCCAUUUUCCAACCAUCGAAAGGUUUGAUGCUAAUCCUUUUGUUGAGCAGAGCUGGGCCUGGCACUGACAAUCCUUGCAUAUGGCUGAAGAGCGGGGUAGGGUGAAGAGCGGGGGGUUGGAUUUUGUACAUCUUUGAAACGUAGAGGACUUGCCCAUCUUGCUCCCUUGUGUGUAAGAACAGACGCGUUUUAGUGUCCAAGCAUCUGGAGUCAUUUAGGAGCCACGGAGCUGGAUUCCCUUUGACUCUGUCUUCUUUUCUGUGACCUACUGUAGAAAAAGCGAGCAAACCAGCCACAGAUCCACAAGUUACUCUGCCCUAAAUUCAGUCAGAAAGGAACCGUCAGUCAAAAAAAAAUAAAAAUCAGAAAGGUUUUUAGGUUUCUAUUUUCACAGUUGGGUGGCACAGUGGUGCGGUGGGUAGCACUGUUGCCUCACAGCAAGAAAGUUUGAAUCCUGGGAUCAAAUCCUGGCCUGGACCUUUCUGUAUGAAGAAGCUUUAUUUGGGAAAUGUACCAUUCCUGAGUAUGUAAGUGUGAUCAUACUCCAUUUAGGUUUUUUAAGAAGAGCUCAGAUGAUCAGAUGACUACUAGAAAUAGAAACUAACCAUAUUAAAUGCAUAAAAUAUCCAAUGUUACACUGCAGUGAUGUAAAGACGGUUGAAAUUUUCUGCAAGAUCUUACUUGGAGAUCACGGAAUCCGUUUGAAACAGUGAUAUGACCGCAACCCAUAGGUUUGUGUGGUAUAUUAUGACAUGUCUUAGGCUUUCAUCAGGAAAUAUCCACACGUGCUACUGCUAUCAGGUAUUCAUUAUAUAAUUUGAUGACCAUUUUAGU